rnacentral:ncRNA from 1 species
GCCUGCGGCUUAAUUUGACUCAACAUGGAAAAACUCACCUGUCUGGACACUGUGAGGAUUGACAGAUUGAGAGCUCUUUCUUGAUUCGGUUUGAGAAAAUACCUGAAUAAUUGGCCAACGCACGGGC